CCUACGGGGGGCUGCAGUAACGAAUCUUCCGCAAUGCACGAAAGUGUGACGGAGCGACGCCGCGUGUGGGACGAAGCCCUUCGGGGUGUAAACCACUGUCAGAGGAUAGAUCAUCCUCAGAGGAAGGCACGGCUAACUCUGUGCCAGCAGCCGCGGUAAUACAGAGGUGCCAAGCGUUAGGCGGAAUCACUGGGCUUAAAGCGUGUGUAGGCGGAUCCGUAAGUACCUUGUGAAAUCCCACGGCUUAACCGUGGAACUGCUCGGUAUACUGCGGACCUUGAGCUAUCUAGGGGCGAGUGGAACAAAUGGUGGAGCGGUGAAAUGCGUAGAUAUCAUUUGGAACGCCAAUGGAGAAAUCAACUCGCUGGGAAUGCUGACGCUGAGACACGAAAGCCAGGGGAGCAAACGGGAUUAGAUACCCUUGUAGUC
rnacentral:rRNA from 1 species